UCUUUGCAUGCUAGAAUAAUUUUUUUAAAUGAUUUUUGUUAAACCUUGAAUAUUUUGAAUUGUGCUGGGAUAGAUAUAUUUUAUAAUUUAGUAUCUUUUGCGUUAUUAAGCAACUUCUUAGUAUUUUGAUGGAACAAUGGUACCCUCCCCCAACCCUCGUCUAUGGAAUGACUUUUUUUCAGUUUUUGUCACAAAUUCUAUCAACUAGCAAUUUGGAUGACCAAGAAACUACAUCAGAAUGAUAGAUAAUGUAUAUAUAGGUUAGAACACUAACAACCUUUUGCCGACUAAAGGCUUGCGACUCGCCAGCAGAAGUGAGAUUGCUUCCUUGGUUCUCUCUCGUGUUCCGAGCUGACAUGAACUACGCUGGAUGCUGUGAAAAGUUCGCUAAAGAUGGCAUCAAAAUAUUAAAUCUAAGUAUCCAUUUAGUUCCUUGAUUAUAAUACUAAAAUUGCGAAAACAUGACAUCCUGUAAUCAUUUUAUUUAUUCUUCUAGUCGAAUGAGUUGCAAGUUAUAAGGAGAGAAAACAUUAUUACUUAGAAACAUCUAUCGAAACAUAUGCAGCAUUCCCAUCUUUUUCUCAACAUAAGAAUCGGCUGAAUCGAAAAACGGGCCAUUCUGACAUCAAUUUCUGUAAAGGGCCGAAUAAAUCAGACGCCACAGAAUGGAGCCAGCAUGCGAGAGCCUUCUGCAUGUAGCCGUCCUCCCCAGGAAAAUGUUGCCAGGCAAGUAACGAACCACUUAGUGCUAAAACAAGACAAGAAAUGUUUCCAGGCGAUGUGUAAGUGUCAUAUUUGCAGAGUGACUACUUCAGUUUCUGUCAGAUUCUCUAUCAGCAAUCUGUAUGAUGGCAAAUAUUUUCUCAUAAUGGUAUUAGUAUAUACAAGUUGGAAAACCUACUGCUUAUAUAAUUGCUCUUUUUCUGAGUGAAGACUUCCUAUUUACACCUAAAGUAAGACGGCUUUCAUGAAUCCACAUAUGUCCUGAAUCGAACCCAUUUAUGCUGAAUGUGGUGAAACUCUAGCUAAAAAUGACUACUUAUUUUGGCAAUGGAAAAAGUUCUCCUUAAGCUAUACGGAGGCAAUCCGUAAUUACCUGGAAACAUCUAUCAAAGCAAAAACAAUAUUUCCAGCUAUUUCUCAACACAAGAAUAAGGCUUGGAAAGUUUCCUCAUUGAUUCCGAAGCGAUAUCGUAUUGUAUAGAUUGGAAUAAGUUUUGAUCUAUAGCCAUCUCUUGCUGAAUAAAGCCUUACCACACUCCACCAGAAGUGAGAAUGCUUUCUCGGUUCCACACGUGUUCUGAACUGGCAUCUACUGAGCUGGAUGUUAUGAAAUACUCGCUACAGAUGACAUCAAAAUAUUAAAUCCAAGUAUAGUCGGUUCCUUUUUUAUAAUACUAAAAUUGUAGAAAUAACAUUCUUUAAUCGCUUUUUUUUUUUGUCUUAUAGAAGGCAAAUUUCCCCUUAUCUGUAAGGGGAAGAACAUUAUUAUUUGUAAACCUUUAUCAAAACAGAAGCAGCAUAUCCAGCAAUUUCUCAAUGUUGUAAUCGGUGGUACUGCAGCACGUGCCAUUCGGAGGUCAAAUUCUGUACAAGUAAGGAUUAAAUAAAUCAAUCGCCUACGAAACAGCCAGCAUAUGAAAGCUUUUUGCAAGUCGUCGUUCUCAAAAUGAAACUUUUGUCCUGCCAAGAACUUUCUACUGUAUUGAAAUAAGACAUGUUUCCAGAAUGAAAGUGGAAUGUUUUUCAAACGAAAUUUCAUUUUGUCACUACAUGAUGGUCUGAAUUUGAACGACAGCUGACGACAGGUGGCAAUUGAAUAACUUGGGACCUAUACAAGUGCAUCUUACUGAAUGAAGACUUUUCGUCCACCACAAGGACAACUGUUUUCUUGGUUCUGCGUACCUCGGCAAUUUACACUAAGGAUGUUGAAUGUGCGUAAUUAUCUGUCAAUGACAUCAAAACAUCAGGAAUUCAAGGGCAUGGUGUCUUUUAAAAUGUUUAGACCGAAGUGAUUGCAACAAAACUGGACGAUUCUGAAGUUUCAUCAAGCGUAACCUUGGAACCCGAAGUCUUUACAAAUUAUGGACAAAGAUUCAAAAGGUGCUAUGAUAUCGUAAACUUGUGAUUUAUACCAAGUUUAAAAUGUAUCGAUUAAAAUGAUAAAAAUUGGAUUAUCAAAAUCUGCACAUUAGAAAUGAUAUUUAAUAUAAUCAACAUUUUUGGCUGCUAAUAUAUUUUUGAAAUGAUUGCUUCCAUUGUAA